rnacentral:rRNA from 1 species
AUGAACGCUAGCUACAGGCUUAACACAUGCAAGUCGAGGGGCAGCAUGGUCUUAGCUUGCUAAGGCCGAUGGCGACCGGCGCACGGGUGAGUAACACGUAUCCAACCUGCCGUCUACUCUUGGACAGCCUUCUGAAAGGAAGAUUAAUGCAAGAUGGCAUCAUGAGUCCGCAUGUUCACAUGAUUAAAGGUAUUCCGGUAGACGAUGGGGAUGCGUUCCAUUAGAUAGUAGGCGGGGUAACGGCCCACCUAGUCUUCGAUGGAUAGGGGUUCUGAGAGGAAGGUCCCCCACAUUGGAACUGAGACACGGUCCAAACUCCUACGGGAGGCAGCAGUGAGGAAUAUUGGUCAAUGGGCGAGAGCCUGAACCAGCCAAGUAGCGUGAAGGAUGACUGCCCUAUGGGUUGUAAACUUCUUUUAUAAAGGAAUAAAGUCGGGUAUGCAUACCCGUUUGCAUGUACUUUAUGAAUAAGGAUCGGCUAACUCCGUGCCAGCAGCCGCGGUAAUACGGAGGAUCCGAGCGUUAUCCGGAUUUAUUGGGUUUAAAGGGAGCGUAGAUGGAUGUUUAAGUCAGUUGUGAAAGUUUGCGGCUCAACCGUAAAAUUGCAGUUGAUACUGGAUAUCUUGAGUGCAGUUGAGGCAGGCGGAAUUCGUGGUGUAGCGGUGAAAUGCUUAGAUAUCACGAAGAACUCCGAUUGCGAAGGCAGCCUGCUAAGCUGCAACUGACAUUGAGGCUCGAAAGUGUGGGUAUCAAACAGGAUUAGAUACCCUGGUAGUCCACACGGUAAACGAUGAAUACUCGCUGUUUGCGAUAUACGGCAAGCGGCCAAGCGAAAGCGUUAAGUAUUCCACCUGGGGAGUACGCCGGCAACGGUGAAACUCAAAGGAAUUGACGGGGGCCCGCACAAGCGGAGGAACAUGUGGUUUAAUUCGAUGAUACGCGAGGAACCUUACCCGGGCUUAAAUUGCAGAUGAAUUACGGUGAAAGCCGUAAGCCGCAAGGCAUCUGUGAAGGUGCUGCAUGGUUGUCGUCAGCUCGUGCCGUGAGGUGUCGGCUUAAGUGCCAUAACGAGCGCAACCCUUGUUGUCAGUUACUAACAGGUCAUGCUGAGGACUCUGACAAGACUGCCAUCGUAAGAUGUGAGGAAGGUGGGGAUGACGUCAAAUCAGCACGGCCCUUACGUCCGGGGCUACACACGUGUUACAAUGGGGGGUACAGAGGGCCGCUACCACGCGAGUGGAUGCCAAUCCCAAAAACCUCUCUCAGUUCGGACUGGAGUCUGCAACCCGACUCCACGAAGCUGGAUUCGCUAGUAAUCGCGCAUCAGCCACGGCGCGGUGAAUACGUUCCCGGGCCUUGUACACACCGCCCGUCAAGCCAUGGGAGCCGGGGGUACCUGAAGUGCGUAACCGCGAGGAGCGCCCUAGGGUAAAACUGGUGACUGGGGCU